rnacentral:piRNA from 1 species
UCUCUGGAGCCUGGCACAAUUUGAACUGC